rnacentral:tRNA from 1 species
GACUCUUUAGCACAGUAGGCAGCACGUCAGUCUUAUAAACUGAAGGUCCAGAGUUUGAUCCUCAGAAGGACCG